GGGAUUGUGGCUCAGUGGUAGAGUGCUUGCCUAGCAUGUACGGGGCCCUGGGUUCGAUCCUCAGCACCA
rnacentral:tRNA from 1 species